CCUACGGGAGGCAGCAGUGGGGAAUAUUGGGCAAUGGGCGCAAGCCUGACCCAGCAACGCCGCGUGAAGGAAGUAGGCUUUCGGGUUGUAAACUUCUUUUAAGGGGGAAGAGCAGAAGACGGUACCCCUUGAAUAAGCCACGGCUAACUACGUGCCAGCAGCCGCGGUAAUACGUAGGUGGCAAGCGUUGUCCGGAUUUACUGGGUGUAAAGGGCGUGCAGCCGGAGCGACAAGUCAGAUGUGAAAUCCACGGGCUCAACCCGUGAACUGCAUUUGAAACUGUUUCCCUUGAGUGUCGGAGAGGUAAUCGGAAUUCCUGGUGUAGCGGUGAAAUGCGUAGAUAGAAGGAAGAACACCAGUGGCGAAGGCGGAUUACUGGACGAUAACUGACGGUGAGGCGCGAAAGCGUGGGGAGCAAACAGGAUUAGAUACCCUAGUAGUC
rnacentral:rRNA from 1 species